AGCUCGUUCCCUCCGUUCGGAAUUACUUGUCGCAUAAAUGGAUCUAUCUAGACGUAUUUUAGUUCUAGAUACAUCCAUUUCCGAGACAAGUAAUUCCGAACGGAGGGAGUACGUA
rfam:Triticum urartu cultivar G1812 contig148222, whole genome shotgun sequence.